GCCCCUCGACCCGCCCGGCUACCCUUUACCUUCGUCCCCGGCCCGUUCAUCCUCCAAGGAGCGAAAGGGAGUGGGAUCGGCGCUACGGUGCGGCUGCCCAGCUAGGCUGCCUUCCCAAUAAAGACCCAGGAAAAAGAGGAUGGAUCUCACCCAGACAUGGCAUCAUGAUCAAGGUGAGGUACUUACAUGGACACAAGGGCUCAAAUGUGUCACAAUGCUAAGUUUUGAAUACAGCCACAUAGACUUUUUGCAGUUCCCAUGCAGGCCUUUCUCUGCAUUUCUCCUUGUACCAUCCCCUUCAAGCUGAUAUGACUUUUGAAGACUCACUAGAGGAAUGCUGAGACCAGCCAAAGCAUCAAUUCUUUGCAAGCUCUGAGAAGCUGACAUGAGAAACACAGAAGGCUCAGCCUCAUCACUAACAACUUAGUAUGUGGCAGACAAUUGUCAUUUUGUGUGUAUCCUGAAAGGAGGACACCAUCCUGCAGCAAUCGUGCUGUCAGCAAAGAGCACAGACACAGGUCCUCUCAACUUUUUAUUCACCUGUAACUUGGGACCAGACUGCUGACACUAAUUGCAGUGCUUUAGGAGAUAAAAAGUUGUGUUCUUGCUGAAGAUAUCUUUCCUCCUGGAGAGACAUGAGCAUGGCUUUCAAGAGCUACAGCACUUUGAAGAAGUCAGCUACUUGCCAUGGGCACAAAAGAAAGAAGUGACAUGAGUUGGUUUGUGCCUGUAAAACCUCAGGGUAAUGCUUCAGACACAAAACCAUGUAUUUCACUCUUUUAGAGCACUCCAUAGCAGGACUAUGCUGUAAGCAAUCCUUUGUCAAAGAUGAUGAUUACAUCACAGACUGCAACACCCGUACAUGGAUGGACAGGCCCAGGGCUUAUGCCAAGGCAGCUGAUGAAUAAAACCACUCAUGAGUCCUUAACAUUUUUAAAAGUCAUCGGGGUUAUGGGACAAAAGACAAUAUGCCUGUGCAAAACAUGUGUUAAUAUGAUGUUUACAAAUUAAUGUUUCUGCACCUGCUAGAAUACAAAUAUUUUAACAGGUACAUUUUAAAUCUCUCCAGUGUUAUAGCACUGAGAAAACACUAUCCCGCUCAUUGUAUAGAAAUAAUAUGAUUUUUUCAUCUCUGCAAUAAUGCUAUGAAUCUGCACAAACACAAUCACUCCUUAACAACUAAGAAGACAGACGCAGCACAAGAAUUCUUGUAUUUGCAUGCCACAGUGUCUAACUCAGAGCCAUUGCAUCAGACUGUCAAUAUCCAGAUCUGCAAGUCAUGCCUAGCUACAAAUAUCCUCAGUUCAGAAAGUUCAGCC